rnacentral:rRNA from 1 species
CUCGCGGCGUGCCUCAGAAACCGUAUGACUUGAGGGCAGGAGAGGGGAGUGGAAUUCCCGGUGUAGCGGUGAUAUGCGUAGAUAUCGGGAGGAACACCAGUGGCGAAGGCGGCUCUCUGGCCUGUUUCUGACGCUGAGGCGCGAAAGCGUGGGUAGCGAACGGGAUUAGAUACCCCGGUAGUCCACGCCGUAAACGAUGGGUGCUAGGUGUAGGAGGUAUCGACCCCUUCUGUGCCGUAGCUAACACAAUAAGCACC